rnacentral:ncRNA from 2 species
GGUGUUUAGUUAUAUAUAGGUACUACUAUAUGUAGUUUAAUAGGGAAGUUAGGUGCAAUUCCGACGCUGUCCCCGCAACUGUAAAGCUGACGAUGAUUCAAUGCCACUAUGCAAUCGCAUGGGAAGGGAAUCGGAGAAUGAAGCUAAGCCAGGAGACCUGCCUAUAUAAAACAAAUUUA